rnacentral:rRNA from 1 species
UAUUGGGCAAUGGGCGCAAGCCUGACCCAGCAACGCCGCGUGAAGGAAGAAGUCUUUCGGGUUGUAAACUUCUUUUCUCAGGGACGAAGAAAGUGACGGUACCUCAGAAAUAACCCAACGCUAACUACGUGCCAGCAGCCGCCGUAAUACGUAGGUGGCAAGCGUUAUCCGGAUUUACUGGGUGUAAAGGGCGUGUAGGCGGGAAAGCAAGUCAGAUGUGAAAACCACGGGCUCAACCUGUGGCCUGCAUUUGAAACUGUUUUUCUUGAGUACUGGAGAGGCAGACGGAAUUCCUAGUGUAGCGGUGAAAUGCGUAGAUAUUAGGAGGAACACCAGUGGCGAAGGCGGUCUGCUGGACAGCAACUGACGCUGAGGCGCGAAAGCGUGGGGAGCAAACAGG